CCCAAAAGAAAUCAAGUCUCCUCCCAAAUAUUCUCUCUCUAGAAAGCUUAAAAGAAGAAGAAAAAGAUUCAACAUAGGGUUUCAAGCUAAGAUUUCAAUUACUCCAUUGAAUAUAAGCAAUUGGACUUAAGGUAUGGUAGCUUUCAUCCAUGAAAUCUCUUAUAUUCAUGGAGUCCCCAAAAUUCCUCUAUUCCAAAAGGGUCCGACAGACAUGGUUCCCAUUUUAGUGGCUAGAUCUUGGACUUUGAUUCUUGCCCGACCUUGGUGAGUCCUCAUGGUUCGAAGACCAAUUACUUUCAUUUUAGUUUCUCUUUUGUAUUUCUUUUUUUGGACAAGAUGUAUGGGCUAGGCCUAAUUUCAUUUGAUUGUAAUAGAUGGCUAUGUUGAUUGGACAUGUGUUUAGACUUUCACUUUUCUAUAAAAUUGUUUUGGACUUAA